AAUAUUGGACAAUGGGGGCAACCCUGAUCCAGCCAUGCCGCGUGUGUGAAGAAGGCUUUUGGAUUGUAAAGCACUUUUUGUUGGGAGGAACGGCUUUAGGCUAAUACCCUGAACUUUUGACGUUACCAACAGACGAACCCCGGGCUUACUCCGUGCAAGCAGCCGCGGUAAUACAGAGGGUGCAAGCGUUGAUCGGAAUUACUGGGCGUAAAGCGCGCGUAGGUGGUUCAGUAAGAUGGGUGUGAAAUCCCCGGGCUUAACCUGGGAACUGCUUUCAUAACUGCUGAGCUAGAGUACGGUAGAGGGUAAUGGAAUUUCCUGUGUAGCGGUGAAAUGCGUAGAUAUAGGAAAGAACACCAGUGGCGAAGGCGACUACCUGGACUGAUACUGACACUGAGGUGCGAAAGCGUGGGGAGCAAAC
rnacentral:rRNA from 1 species